CUCCAGCGUCGCCAUCCAACGCCGCUGCUCUAGCUCGGUCGCCGUCCAGCCCCAUCGCCGGAUACAGGAAAAGAUCUGCUGAAAAACUGUACGGAUAUAAAGGUGAUGAAGCAAUUGCACCUUCUGUACCCAAUCUGGCAUGGUUGAGGCUCUGCAAGUGCCUGGAACAAGAUUUCCUUCCUUAUAUGAGUGUAGUCAUGCCUCCUUUGCUUCAGUCUGCUCAGCUUAAACAUGAUGUGACUAUAACCUCAGCUGAUUCAGACAAUGAAAUUGAUGAAUCAGAUGAUGACAGCAUGGAGACAAUCACUCUUGGGGAUAAGAGAAUAGGGAUUAACACAAGUGUUCUUGAGGAAAAAGCAACAACCUGUAGUCCUGUAAUAUGCUAUGUUGCUAUGCUGAUGAGUUGAAAGAAGGCUUUUACCCAUGGAUUGAUCAGCCAUGCCACAGUUGUUACAUUCUGCGAAGUUAGCAAUUGAGAAAGGGCUUGCUCAAGGCCCUAAUGAGGCUUAUGUCAAGCAGUUGUCAGACUAUGUAGUACCAGCUCUUGUUGAAGCUUUGCACAAGGAACCUGAUACAGAAAUAUGUGCAAACAUGUUAGGACUCGUUGAAUGAAUGCUUGCAGAUCUCUGGACCUCUCCUGGAUGAAGCUCAGGCCCGAAGCAUUGUGGAUGAAAUUAAGCAGGUUAUAACUGCCAGUUCAAGUAGAAAAAGAGAUCGGGCAGAGAGAGAGAGAAAGCUGAAGAUUUUGAUGCAGAGGAGAGUGAAUUGCUUAAAGAGGAAAAUGAGGAAGAAGAAGAAGUUUUUGACCAAAUCCAUGAAGCAGACAUUUCUAGGUUGUCAUUUGCAGUUGAGCUUUGCUGAAGAGUUCUAUGGAAGGGGCAAGAUGUUGCAUUUGAACCUGGGUGAUAACAGCACAGCCUUCUGCUUAACACAGGUAGUACUGAUUAAUUUAGUUUGCUAUUUCUUUCCAGUUGAUAAUUAGGCUUAGACUAUUGCAGUUGAGGGCAUUUAUUUGCCUAGAUUAAGUUAAUAACACCCACCAAGGAUUUUUAGAAGACUGAAUAUUUGGUUAUGAAGUCUAUCAUUUUUAUAGAGUUUCUUAUUUCCAGCUUA